CGUGCAGGAGGAUUUGCACAAUCAGCUCGGGCGGUCCGCACCCAAUCACCGGUGUCUCGCGGCUCUCGCCCCACCCCAGCCACCAAACGAGGAACCCUAGCCUCCUGUCUCCUUCCCCUCGAUCCCCACGAGCCGCUGCACCCCUCCCUCUCCCUUCCGUGCGUGUGCUCGGCCAACGACGCCGCCGUCGCCCUCGGCUCCUCCUCCACCACCUCGCCUUUUUCUCCUCCUUGCCUUCCCAUCGCUCGCGCGCAUGUCGCCACCGUCGGAGAACAGGACAGUGUGAGUCGCUUCCUCCUUUUCCUCCCGCCGGAUCUAAGGCGUGCGGCCGUGGAGGCGAGCCUCUCCGGUGGCGGCGGCAAAGGGUGACCACAUGGAUCGGUCCCUGCAGGAGAGAGAAGAUGGGAGAGAGGGAGAGAAGGAAGGAGAGGAGGGAGGCCCGGCGGCGGACGGGAGAGGGUCACCGACCGGCGCUGGCGAGGUCAGGUGCGACCUGGUGGUUGGUGGCGGCUCGAUCCACUCCUGGAUCCUUCUUCUUCCACUUCCCCACUGCCUAACACCUAGGAAGAGGGCUGGCCGAGGAAGAGGGCGAGGACGCGGGGAUUGAAGAGGGUGUUCCUGCGUUCAUCGCCUGGCCAAGGACGAGGACGACGAGGUGGGGUGGAGCUUGUCAUCCCUCUGGUUAUCACCUUCCUUUCUGCUACUGGGCUGAGAUGAGGGUUUUCUCCAUCGAUUGUGGUGGCCUGAGUCAGAGAUCGACAGCCAGAUGCUUGUGGCUACCACACAAAACGUGCUCUCUUGCUGACCUCGAGGUCCAGACGCAAUGGAUUGUCUCCAAGGUGUUUCUCCGACCAGCAACAACAAAACUCCACACUUUCUCAAUUGCGCUGUGAUUGGUUCAUGUCCACCAAGGCCGUUGCAUUGGUCGUGGUACUCGGCUUCCUUUGGGUUUGCUUGCUGUCGAGGAAGAAGAAAGGUGUGAACUAUGUGAAAAUGGACAAACCCACUGCCCCAGAUGGUAAUGAAAAAACUGACACCAACUAGCUCACUCUAUAAAUUUUGUAUAGGCUAAAGCUAACUACGUAUCUGCACCACGAUUGCUCGCUGGGGAUAUAGAUGUAUUCCUAACAUCAGGUUAUUACCACACCAUAGCAGCUGCUCGCUGGGAAUAUAGAUAUAUAUUUCAUUUUGCAGGUUUGAAACAAGCUGGUUCCUUUAUAUGAAAUUGUUUAUUCAUGAUUUGUUAAUGUAGAAAUCAUUUCAUUAAUAGUUUUGUAUGGUCCGUGUGAUUCAUGCUGCAAUGAUUUUCUUCACUCGGUUAAUCGUGUAGUAAUUAGACGGUGUAGUACUAUGGCGGUGGUAUACUGAUAUCGUGUAGUAAUCGAUGCUCUGUUCAUGGCUUUUUUCUUAUUUUAUCCUUCUUUGCUUUUUUUCCUUUCCUGCAAGAAGAUGUCGAGUCAUGUAAUAUGUUCAAAGAAGAGAGAAUCUGCAUUUUAUGAAUCCUUUCUUCUUUCUUCAUUGUUACUUCAAGUUAGUGAAUUCAUUUAAGUUGUAUUGAGCAGCUUCAUGUGCAUGGUGUCUUCAUCUACACAUCUUAUUCAGUCACGAGGCCAGUAAGAUCUUUUGCCUUUUAGAAAAAGGGAGAUGCCAUUUAGACCUUACUCUUCCAACUUGAUCUUUAACAUGCUAGCAUUUUCCCAAGCAUUUUUUAUUUGCUUCAGAGAAUGAGCUCACCUUAUUCAGUGGAUGUGCCAAGUAAAAAAAUUAGAAACUGAACAAUUAGUUCCACUCUUAAAUUUUGUACAACGGUCCAAAUUAUCCAAUAAAUCAUUUGUUAGCAGGGUCUAAUUAUAGAAGUUGAACCAGUUGUUCCAAAUUACAAUGUGUGACUUAUUCCAUUUGUUUAUCCUUUUGUCCUUUUAAUCAAGAACAAUGUUUAGAGCUUACAUGGUUGUCCAAAUUUAGUUCUGUAAAAGAGGACUAUUGAUAUCAUGCAAUGAUCAGUGCAGAUUAGGAUAGUUAUAGAGUUCUUCCUCAGUUUUCAUUGAGCAAAGAUUGAAUCUGUAUGAUUUUUUCUAAUACCAAGUAAAUCUUGGUCUGCAUUCUGUUAGUUUUCCUACUGAGUUUUUUUUGGCUAUUUUCAUUUAAAUUGGUAGCUGAUGUGAAAAAGUAUGUGUUGACAUGCAUGUAACCAAAUCAUGAAUUAAUGUGAGAUACUACAUAUACUUGCCUAUCUCUUUCCAGAAGCACAACCCUCUUGAUCCAACUAGGAACAUCAAAACCAAAUGGGAAAUCAUUGAGUGGACUUCAGAUGUCCAUGCUUACGACAAGGAGGCAGGGUGGGGGGGGGGGUCGGCCAUGGAGGGAGGCUCGCCGGCCGGAGCAGCAGGAACAAGGAGGCGGGGUCGGCUGUGGAAGGGAGGCUAGCCGGCCGGAGCAGCAGGAGCAAGGAGGCGGGGUCGACCGUGGCAACUGGAACAGCUGCUGGUUAGCCUGACACACUGCCUCAGCCAUGUCUCCUCUAAUGCAGCCCAGACGCUCAAGAGAGGUAGUUGUGCCGUCACUGGUGGCGAGUUCAGCGGCCGCCCCCUCCUCUUCUCUUCGAACCCAGCCCUCUCUUGAGUGUGUCGUGCCCUCUACUACGGUAAAGCACCAGGUCCACGUGAGCUCCUCCUUCAACCCGCGUAUGUGAUUUCUUCCUUUUCCAUGAAUGCACACAUCUAAAGCGUUUUUUUGGGUUCCCUCAUCUAAAUUUCUUCUGAAGUGUGCAGAUUGUUAUUCAUUAUCUGGGAGGACACUAUUCUUUUCAAGGACUCAUUAGUCACAGAAUAUUUAGCUGGCAAGAUACAAAUUUUAUGAUUCAUCCAUCUCUCCAAUUCUGACCUUACAUAUCAACCUGUCUCCAUGUACCCUUCUAUAUCUGGUGCUGCUACUUUUUUUUCCUUACAUGGAUAUAUGUAUGAGAUUUCUUUGUUUAGGUAUAUUUGUGCCUGAAAGAAGUUUACAUCUAUUUUCUUGUUAGAUGAUCCUGAAUGAGAAUACUUAUGAGAUCGCAUGAAUGAGAUGUUGACGCCCUGUAUGCUCCAAAAUUGUAUCAUUCUUCCCACACAAUGGUUAGAAUCCCAGUUGUUGAAUCACAAUAGACAAGACCAUAUUUCCCAUUUUCUAUAGUCCAACUAAUAAUACAUAUUGAGCCUGGUGAUGGUUAUUGAUAUAUUGUGAUAGUAGUUUCCUGCAUUAAUUAGUUAAUGAGCCACCCUUUCGUUUUCAACUCAAAGUGCUGCAGCAGUUAAAUAGAUGUGUUCGUGCCAUUUAGCCCCAAAAUUUAGUUCAGUUCGGCUGUACAUCUAUUGCCGACCCCUUUUCUUAGUACUGAUUGACCUUUAUGUGUUAAUAUUUUUAUUGACUUCAUUUUUUCCUUUAGUCCUUCCUCUUGGUGUAUAUUCCUGAUUGUGUGAGUUCCUUUCCUGGUAUGGUAUUUAUGAUUCAGACCAUUCCAUAACAAAAUGCAUAUAUGGCCUCAUGCAUGUUUAUUGCUUGCCUGUGUAUCAUUGUGUUCUUAUCGGUUGUUUUCUGUGCGUUUCGUAGGAUGUGCGAUCUCUUCUGCCGCUACGUCUCCAUUCGACUCACCAAGGUUUGUUGUUCUCCUUUUUACAUGUGUGUGUAUUUUACUUUCACUAUCUGCUAUAUCAUGAUAUCUGCCUUCAUGAUCGUUUAAAUAUUAUUAUGGUGUCUGCCAUGCUGAUCGUUCAAAUAUUUUGGAUACGGCAGGGCAUUAUGUGGUGUUCUUCUCUUGCUACUUACAGUUCGUGUAUGCGUGUGAGCAGGAUCUAUGCACUUGUUUCCGUUGUUAUACUUGUUUUGGAGACUGAGGUAGCUCGGUGUGCUUUGCCGUCGCUUUCGUGUAUGUGUGAGGUUGUAGACAACGGUUCUGUUCUUGCUGGUGUAGAACUCGAGCUCCCAGGGGACGGUUCUACUCCAGUGCCAUAAAGAGAUUUUUUCUGAGCUCGGCUUUGUGUGGUUUUAUGAAUGGCUAUGAGUAGGCUGCUCUACAGGUCUUGCGUAUUUUGCAAGGUUUAUAUGGACUUUUCGUUCAUGACAAUAACUAUGAAUGUAUGAUGGCCUAUAGGAGAUCUUUCUGUCCAAGAACAUUGCGAUUUCUUUGAUUCCUACUAUGCUAUUUACUCAGUCUGCAGGCCAGCAUAUUAUUUAGAUUCUUUCUAACUACCUUACUUCGAAGCUCAGUACUGGUCUCCUUCAAGCUACAACCCCAAGGUAUGUCUUCUGAAACAGAGAACUAUAAUAUGCUUAUAACUACUUAAUUGCACUCAUGUUUGUGUUUCCUUUUGUACCAAAUCGCCGUGCCCUGCCGGCUAUGCUAUAUGCCCACAUAUUUACACAUGUCUCCCUCUUCACUGGUUUUCUUUCAUGCACCAGGCGAGCUCUGGUGGUCAAGCUGAUGCUUCUUCGCCUCCUGUUGAAGAAAAGGAUGAUAAGGAUGUCCGGGCUUGAGUGACCAGGAACAAGUGGUGCUGCUUUUUAUGCUGUCCAUCUAUAUAUGCAUCCCUUCAGUUUGUACAGACAAAACAAAUAUUCAUUUCUGACUAGAACAAAACUUGCAGUUAAGAAACUCUGCUGCUGGAAAGGGAGCUGGGGUACUAAACAGAAUAUAGAUUGAGCCUGCCAGUUCUUUUUAAUCCAAUGGCCUGUAUUUUUUGCAGCAAUCGUCUUUUAUGUCUGGUUCCCAAAGUUAUUAGUUAGCCUGCCUAUUUCUCGCCGUUUGAUAACCUAUAUUAUAACUAUAGAGAAUAUAGUUUGAGCCUGCCAGUUCUUCUGCCUUGGAUAUGAAAUAAUGAGGCAGUUUUAAUAUUUGUCGUAGAUUCACCUGAGUUUAUUUUAAACUACAGGAUGCAUCACUGAUGGAGAAAUACCUUACAGAAUGAUGCUGAGCCCCAUCUGGAUUGGAACCUUUUUGGAGCUGCUUAUGCUUGGUGCGGAGCGGGAAGCCUAUGAUAGCAACAGUAUUGGACUCCAUAGAACUGGAACUCUAUACCUUUCUUAUGUAGCUCUUCCUUUUGUUGUCUUCCCUAGAAGGGGAUGAUGUAGUUUUUCUGAAUUACAUGUCUCCGCUUUGUUCUACGGCAGAUGCUUCUACUCUAGAAUGGUAGCAACAAUACUGGACUCCACUGAGAACUAGAACACUAUACCUUUCUUGUGUAGCUCUUCCUUUCGUAGUCUCUGCUGGAAGGUGCAGAUGUAGUUUUCCAUUUGUUCUAUGACAGAUGCUUCUACACUGGAAUGGACCUUUUUGGAGAUUCAACAUGUUUCUGACUUGUACAA